AAGCUCAAGGGUUAAAGUUUUCCAGUGGAAAUGUUGCCACACGUUUUUCGGCUGAUCGCAGAACUUACGGUUUCAAGUGGACGCGUCGUUUCGUUGUUCUUUCCGCGAAAAUGCCCUUAAAUUGGCUUAAAAAGUGACGCGGAGUGAGUUUAAACCGAUUCGCGUGCUGGGUGAUAAGGAUUGGCCAUCCAUCCUUAUCAUUUCCUUGAGUUAUGACACAAUCCGCUCGCAAAAAACAACAAUUUCGCUUGGCGCAGCACGCGCACCUGGCAAUCCUUCGUUUCGUUUGUUAACUUUGGCUUUUUCCGGCGUUUCGCGUUGCGUGUUUUUGGCCAGGACAUUGGGAGAAACUCGGGACAGCCACUCGGAGGAGCAGUCAACAAAUCCCAAUCCCGGCGGACACGGAAUUUAUGUUUGUUUGAGCACAUUUCGCCGUCAAGUCAUUCGUCAGGGUUGUCACAUUUUUCGCGGGGGGCGCGGGGGUGGCGCCGGGAAGAAGCAGAAAAUGAUGGAAAAAUGCGGCAAGGCAAAUGCAAAGCAAAAUGUGACAGGAACGCAACUGAGUCCUCUUAGCGAUCCUUCUGGACAGGAGCUGCUCCCAUUGACGCUGAUUAAUGCGGCAUUGGUGUUAUUUUGGUUUGGGAAAAAUACAAACCGGCACAACUAAACACCAAGGGGAAGAAAAACUGGACAAUACUGGAAUGAAGCCAGUCUGGAGUAGUCUUUAGUGUAUAAAUCAUAUCAAUCGAUGCCUUCCUCCGCUCGGAAUUCAACAUGACCAGGACGGCAAUCCUCCGUUUGUGAUACGAACGGGGCGCACAAGAAGCAGAAGACGGCGGAGAUCAUUACAUUGACAUAUUCAUGCGGAAUCGGAAUCGGGGAAUUCCAGGGAAGGCACAAACAAUGGAGCACGCGACCAUGUGGAGCGGAUGAGGAUGAGGAGGAGCGCGUCCCACGCGACUGCCGGGAAUCAACCUGCUGCCUGCAACUGGCAACUUGGAAUUGGCAACCUGCGAUAUGCCUUUCGUCUGGCGAAGAAACCUCACACAUCUCGCAUCUCACAUCGUCCAGUUGUCGUCGCUUUAUCCGCAACAUGGACAUGGGGACCGGGAUCGUCGGAAUGCUUAUCAAGGGGCGCACUUGUAGCUGUCAUAAGGCCAACUGAAAUAUUGGCAGCCCAAACAGAGACCCAAACGGCACCAGAGGAGCAACCUCUUGCCUGGCCCCACUGAACUCCUUUCAAUGAACUAACUGAAUGCACUGGACAAAGAGUCCACUUGAGGUGGAAAGAAAGGGGAAGAGGCACCUGAACUGCCCCAGGACUUGUCCUCCAUCCAUUUAUCUCACUCGACGCCGGCGACGGCAACUGCAACGGGCAAAUAUGGAAAUUUGUUGGCCUGGCCGCCUUUUUUGUGAGACGCCGCCGCCGCCACCGCCACUGCCUGUCCCCCACAAAACCCGCCACUUAAACCGCUUCAUUAAACACUCCAUGAACUCCCUUUCCUGGGCCAAGUGUCCUUAUGUCCUGGCGGUGUAAUUAAUUUCUGCCACAGUUGGGUAUUUGAAAAAGCUUAGAAAUGCGGCCGAAUGGACUGGGUGGGAGCGUUUUCCGUGCCACAGGAGCAAUUAUAAAACGGAGUCGAGUGGCGGGAAUAG